rnacentral:rRNA from 1 species
CGGGGGGGGGGGGCAAGCGUUGUUCGGAAUUACUGGGCGUAAAGGGCGCGCAGGCGGGGGCGGGAAAGUCUCUCGUGAAAUCCCACGGGCUCAACCGUGGAACUGCGGGAGAUACUACUCGUCUUGAGUUCGGGAGAGGAGUGUGGAAUUCCCAGUGUAGCGGUGAAAUGCGUAGAUAUUGGGAGGAACACCGGUGGCGAAGGCGGCACUCUGGACCGGUACUGACGCUGAGGCGCGAAAGCUAGGGGAGCAAACGGGAUUAGAUACCCCGGUAGUCCUAGCUGUAAACGCUGAGCACUUGGUGUAGCGGGUAUCGACCCCUGCUGUGCCGAAGCUAACGCAUUAAGUGCUCCGCCUGGGGAGUACGGUCGCAAGGCUG